rnacentral:lncRNA from 1 species
GGAGAUAUAAGCAUCAAGAAAAUCCUGCAAGAAGGUAACAUAUUGAGUGAGAGAUUCAACUUGCUGUUUGUGGAUAGAAAUUGGAGGGGAAGGAUGCUUUUCAAGGCGAUCUAUGAUAUGCAUAAGAGAAACCAGAGCUCCAUAAGCUGCCAUGAUUAACUCUUUAAUUAAUGUAUAUAUUUAUGGGAAAUGUGAAUGAAAAGAAGGCAAGUAAUCUGGUAUAUAUUAUGAUUCCACAAUUGAGAUAUAUGGAACUUUUUAUUUGUAGCAGAUAUAGUCCCCAACCACUCUAGCAAUAUAUAAGGCCAUAAGGGCAUGAUAACUGAUAAGGUUCUACUUUAUUUAUUCCUUGUUCUUUUUCUUCUUUUUAUUUUCUUUUUCUUUUUCUUCUUUUGUGAAUGAAGAUUCUACUUAAUUUCCUCGCUAGUGUUAAAGAGAGGACCACAUAUUAAAUACGUUGACUCAAAAGAAAAUUCUGCGUAGCUUUAUAGAGAUGGCAAUGGGUCGGAUCUGGACCGGAUCUUGGUUGGUUUAGAUUUAGAUUCAAUUUUUUUUACUUAAAUUCAGAUUCGGUCCAAAUUCAUUGGAUCCAAAAAAAUAAGAUCCAGACCUGGAUUCAUAAGAUCCACAGUGUCUCGAGUCCAGACCCAAAUCCAUAUUUUUUUCUUUUUAAAAUAUUUAUAAAUUUUAAAUUAACUAAAAAUAAAAUCCAAUUUUGUCUAGAUUAUCAACAAUUAUUAAAAAAAUAAAUAAUUAAAUCAUAACCUAUAAUCACCACAUAUCAUACGAACACAAAUCAAAAUAUAUAUAUUUUAAUUAAUAUAGUUAUAUUUAUAUAUUGCAACCUGUGAUGUAUAUAGACAAAGAAGAAAUCUACAAAAACAUAAACGAAAUACAAGUGAUUUGAAUUGUAAUUAUUACAUUCUUUUAAGAUAAAAAUAUAUUUAAUUCGCAAACCAAAAAAAAAAAAGAAGAGAUCCCUAAUCGUCAAAAUCAAAUAAGAAAAUAUUUAAAAUUCGUCUUGCUCCGUACUUAGAUAAUUUAGGACCUUUUUCAUGUAUCUUUUUUGCAUUUUACAUUUAAAUUUAUUCAUUAAUAACUUCAUUGGUUUCUUUUUAAAAUUUAAAUUAUAGCCAAAUGAAUAACUCAAUUUCAUGAAUACAAUUAAUUAAUACAAAUAUUUCAAACUAUAUAAUAAUAUCUAUAUAUUUAACUUUCAACAUAUAAAAUGACAUUAGUUAAACGUGCAAUGCACGUUCUGUCUGCUAGUAGUAUAAAAGAAACAAGAAAUAGAAAACAUCAAUUUAUAAAGCAUUUAAUUUACGUUUCCCAACGUGUCAUUGUUUGUGGUCAGAAAUGAGCAGCAUCAGCAAAAAAGUUUAAGCACAUAACUUUCCCUAAAGGAAGAGAAACUAAAUGAGUUAUUUAAAUAGAAAGAGUUGUACGUGGAGCUUACAGUAAUGAAGCAACAAAAGCUCAUUUUUUUAUAAUUAAGCUUACAAAACAAGAAGUCUCAACUUGUAACUAAACAAUCUUGGAUGCUGGAUGAUUCUAAUAACUAGUAUUACACUGUAACUUCAAAGUUGGGACUUGCCAAGCUCUGCAGUCUUUCGUCUCUGUACCAAAGUAUAGCUCGAACAUGAAGGUCAAGUUGGUCUCCAUAUAAAUCCUCUUGUUCUUCUACUAUCUUUUUAGCCGACACUACUGCUGAUUCACUGCAAUGUUCCAAAGUAAUUGAUUUCAGCGUUGCUAUUUCUCCAACUUCAGAAGGGAUCUCCUCCAAUUGUCGCAAACCUCGAAGACGGAGCUCCUGGAGAACUGGAAAGUGGGAGCUCUCUGCCAUCGUCCAAUUUUCUAGACCUUUACAAUAGUACAAUUGUAGUAGCUUGAGGCUCCGGAAUUGGCCCUCAAUAGUGUCCCACUUGCCUGUUUUGAAGAUACCAUAUUGUAAUACUAACUUCUGAAGAAGGGGCAAACACGCUAUCUUCUGCAAUAUCUCUUCCAACUCCACAUUAUUGACAAUCAAAUUCAACUUUUUGAGGGAGUGUGGGAAACUAAUCCUCUGCAAAUACUCAUCAUAUCCAUAAUAGAUGUCGCAGGACAAGUUUUCCAAUUUACUCAGACACUCAAGAUAGCUGAAACAGUUGUCUCUCUCCAUUUGUUUCAAUUCACUCAAGCUCUUGAUGAGACAACCCUCCAUAUCUUUAAAAUUGUAAAAUAGAUGCAAUUUCUUGAGAUUGGGAAUUCUUUGAACCACCUCCUCAUUCAAAUACAAAUUCAUUACUCCUUUGAGCGUUUGUAGAUUCUCCAUGAUAACCAUCUCACUCGGAGGAUCUGGUAGAAUCAAUCCUGUUCCCAUACACUCGAGAUGCCUAAGUUGAUGCAAUUUCCAAAUCUCAAUCGGUGCAAUAAGAUCAUGCGGAUGCAAUCCCAAUGGAGACAGAGCAACUAUUAACGUAUAUAGAUUCCAAAGCAAAUUGAUCGAAGACGGGAAUUUGGACUUCAUAUGAAUUCUAACAGCAAGGUGCCGUGAGUUCACCAAUUGAAAAACAUCGCCUAGGAAAUGAUCACCAUCAUCUCCAUUUCGAUAUAAUGUAUCUCUAUCAUAUGCUUUGAAUGUUCUCAACAAUUUAAAAUUGUGAGGCAUUUCAAAGUUUUUCCCCUCGUCAUCACAUAUUAUAGAACGAGCAUGCGACAAAGAUCUUGAGACUUCACGUAUUAUCCUUCUUCCAGCAUUUUUAAGAACAACCCGACGACAUUCGUUAUCUAUGACUGAAGGAGUCUUUUCUAUGAUAUGAUAAAACCUCUCCUUUUCAACUUCUUUCAAGCAUAAAUCCCUCAACAAAUCAUGAAUCUUACAAAACUUUGCAUUUCCACUAAAUCCCAACUUAUCAACUAAAAUCAGAUUUCUAUCUACCAACUCCUUCAAGUACUCUUUUGCUAUUGUUUCCAAACAUUUUCCACUCACGGGUUUUAAAAAUCCUUCUGAAACCCAUAGCUUCUUCAGCAUUGAGACACGAAUUCUACUAUCUUCCUUAAAAACACCCAUAUACAAAAAACAUGGCUUCAAAUAGUUGGGCAGAUAGGUAUAGCUCAAUCGCAAUAUUUUCAAGCAAAAUUCAUCAUUAUUCGUAAUGACAAUUGAAUUUAAAUUUUGCUCUACACGCAUCCAAUAUUCUGUAGUGCGCUCAGAUUUUGCCAAAAGACCUCCAAUUGUAGCAAUUGAUAAAGGAAGCCCUUUACAAUUUGCUACAAUAUUCUUUCCAAUAUUCUCCAACUCAGGAGGAAAACAUUCGCCCCCAAACACAGUGUUGGUGAACAAAUCCCAACUACUAGCCUCAUCUAGAAAUUUCAUACCAACGCCAUAAGACUCACCCAACUGCAAAGUCAAGUUUGACAGCCUAGUUGUUACAAUUAUUCGACUCCCAUUAUUGCAAUCAGGAAAGGAAAACCUGAUCUUGUCCCACACCUCUAUACUCCACAUAUCAUCCAUAAUUAUGAGAUACCUCCUACCCCAUAAAUACUGGUAUAGUUUUAAUCCCAAUUCUCCCUCACUCAGAUCAUCACUACCCGAAUCCCCACUUGCUUGAAAAAGAACUUCUCUAAGUGUUUCUCUAACAUUAUAAGUUUGAGAAAUCGUAGUCCAAGCACGAAUAUAAAAAUGCUUUUUAACAACCGCAUGCUCAAAUAGAUGUCGGGCAAGAGUGGUCUUACCAAUGCCGCCCAUCCCCAUAAUUGGGAUGAUUUGGCGACUGCCAUGAACUCCGGUGAGCUUAUCCAGCACUUCACGUAACACCUCGUCGAAGCCCACAAUUAUGCUUUCCUUCACAGUGGAAGAGGAGGCAGCAUGAGUUGAGGAGACCUUUCUCGGCAGUUAAGCUGCGGCAGCAAUCUCCAAGACAUCCUUCUUGAUAAUACCAGAAGAGGAGGACGUUGAGGAGGCAGCAUGAGUUGAGGAGACCUUUCUCUGCAGUUGAGCUGCGGUUGCAAUCUCCAUGGCUUCCUUCUUGAUCAAAUUCAUUUCUUCUAUCACUUGUUGUAGAUCGUGGUAGAAGUCCUCCUUAACAGUUGCGCAUUUACACCGAGCUCGAAACAAGUUGAUAAAACAGGACAUCUUCUGUAACACCCCGAUAAUUUAGAUUUAUUUUAUAAGUUUAAUUAAUAGUAUUUUCUUGUAUAGCUUAUUAUUAUUUUUUUUUAAUAAUUACAUGAUACAUAUAGAUAUGCACCAUUAAUUUUUAUCUAGACUAUUAUUAUUAUUAUUAUUAUUAUUAUUAUUAUUAUUAUUAUUAUUAGAACUAGAACUCUUUAAAGACUAGUAUAAAUAUGAGAUCAAUUUUUCAAACCCUAAAACACACACACACGCAGAACUUAAAGCUAGCCGGAAAGUUGAAAUCGGUACAUACCUUCUUCUUUUUCUUACGCAAUGAAUUUCUAAUCUUGCAAUGAAUAGUCAAUGAAUUUCUUACGCAAUGAAUAGUCAAGCCUUUUGAAAGCAAUUUAGUAAUUAGAUUUCAUGCUUUUAUUUCUCUUUCUUCUGUAAUGUUUUUCGUAAAAAGGAAAAUUUUAAUCUAUUUUUUUUAUAUAGUUUAAUUAGUGCUUGUUUUUAUCUAAUUUCCUUUGGCAAAGAUGAUGUCAGCUUAAAUCACAUAUAUUUACUCAAGUAUAUUUAAGUUUCUUAUUAAGUUUGAUUAGUACUAACAUAUGUCGUCUGGAGGUAGUUUUAAAGUGAGGAAGUAUUUUCUUUAUUUAUUUUUAAUUACUAAAGGUUUCUUUUAACAAGUUAUAAUUCCUUUUCUAUAUAUACGAUUUUUAUUAUAUUAGAUUUGAUAUAAGAUUUUAGUUUAAGUUAGGAUUUAUAAUAAAACGUUUUAUCUAUUUAAUUAGGUGUGGUGCAAUUAGGAUCUUCAUUCCGGAUUUGAUUGAGUAAGUUUCGACAUUAAGGUGAGGGAUUUUACGCUUAUUCAUAUGGUUAUAUAUGUUUUUAUUAUCGCGUUGAUUACUUGUUUACGUGCAUCUUAUGACUAUGAUGUUAUGUGCGAUCAUGGGACCUAAGCCAUUGAUCUAUGUAUGUGUUUGGUCAUGGGACUUAAGCCAUCGACUCAAACUAUGAUUAUGUUUGUCAAGGGGCUCCGGUCUCUUGGCGUAUGUUUGCAAGUAUGAUAUCGUGGUUUGAUUAUAUAUGUGACGUAUAUGAAUAUUUUUGUUAUGUUCCUCACUGCAUAUAUUUUUCAAUAUGCUCACCCCUUAUCUUUUCAGUUUUGCAGUUUCAGAGUCGAAGUGACCAUGGAAGUGGAGAAUGACUAGGGAUAAGGAUUUUACAUUGAACAUUUUAGUUGAACUUAUUAAGUUUUAUUUUAUUUUCAUGUUACUAUUUUAGUUUUGGCAAGUUGAAUUUAAAUUGGUUUAAACUUUUAUAACUCAAGAAAUUUUAUUUUAUCUAUUAGUUUUUCAAAGAUUUUAUAUUGAAAAGUUUAUGAAAAUUGGGGUGUUACAUCUUCCCACGAAUUCUGGAUCUGUUAUGAAUUUGAAGCACAAUUUGGGAUUCGAUGACAUCCUCAGCUACAUGAACUGCAUCAGCAAAGCGACGCUCCAAUGGAUCCGCUUCAUGGUCAUCGACAACUGGAGAAAUAUAAGCAUCAAGAAAAUCCUGCAAGAAGGUAACAUUUUGAGUGAGAGAUUCAACUUGCUGUUUGUCGAUAGAAAUUGGAGGGGAAGGAUGAUUUUCGAUGCGAUCUAUGAUAUGCAUAAGAGAAACCAGAGCUCCAUAAGCCGCCAUAAUUAACUCCUUGAAUGCAGACACAGAAUUUUUUUAUUUGUGGGAAGUGUGAAUGAAAAUAUAUGAGAUGAUAUUUUAGAGGUGAAAGAAGACAACC